UACGAAGGGUGCAAGCGUUACUCGGAAUCACUGGGCGUAAAGCGCACGUAGGCGGACUUACAGGUCAAUUGUGAAAUACCUGGGCUCAACCCAGGAACUGCAGUUGAAACCGUUUGUCUUGAAUACUUGAGAGGGUGGGGGAAUACCUGGUGGAGAAGUGAAAUUCGUAGAGAUCAGGUGGAACACCGGAGGCGAAGGCGCCUGCCUGGCAAUGUAUUGACGCUGAGGUGCGAAAGUGCGGGGAGCAAACAGG
rnacentral:rRNA from 1 species